rnacentral:rRNA from 1 species
UUGAACGCUGGCGGCAGGCCUAACACAUGCAAGUCGAGCGGUUGAGAGUAGCUUGCUACUUGAUGCAGCGGCGGACGGGUGAGUAACGCGUGGGAAUCUGCCCAGUAGUGGGGGACAACAGCCGGAAACGGCUGCUAAUACCGCAUACGCCCUACGGGGGAAAGGGGGGGAUCUUCGGACCUCUCGCUAUCGGAUGAGCCCGCGUCGGAUUAGCUAGUUGGUAGGGUAAAGGCCUACCAAGGCUACGAUCCGUAACUGGUCUGAGAGGAUGAUCAGCCACACUGGAACUGAGACACGGUCCAGACUCCUACGGGAGGCAGCAGUGGGGGAUAUUGGACAAUGGGGGAAACCCUGAUCCAGCCAUGCCGCGUGUGUGAAGAAGGCCUUAGGGUUGUAAAGCACUUUCAGUGGGGAGAAAGGUUUGUCACCUAAUACGUGAUGAAAUUGAUGUUACCCACAGAAGAAGCACCGGCUAACUCCGUGCCAGCCGCCGCAGUAACAC